GUGAAACGCGAUUCCGGAGGUACUGGCGCUGGGGAGGAGGAGGAGGGCCCGCGGGCCCGCAGGAGAAGAGGGAGGGGCAGGCUGGGAGGCGCUUCCCCCCUCCUUCCUCCUCGGGGAGCUGCCAAAAAGAAACUCGGCGUCGCGCCCAAGUGUGUGCGUGCGUGUCUGUGUGUGUGGCGGCGUGGGCGCGCGAGUGGGGACGCGCAGGGCCUGGAGGGGCGGCGCGGGCCCUUUAAGGAGCCAGAGGGGGCCGGGCCGGGGCGCGUCGCUGCGGGCGGGGAGCCGGGAGCAGGGAGGCCGAGCCACCGCCUCCCGGGCUCCCGCCCCGCCCCCUCCUCCCCCUCCCGCCGCCGCCGCCGCCGCCGCCGCCACCGCCGCCGCGGCCGCCGGGGAGCGCGGAGCCGCGGGCAGGCCGGGCCGCACCGGAGCCCCGCGUCCGCCCGCGCCCCGCCCGAGCCCUGCGCCCUGCGCCCGCGCCCUGCGCUCCGCGAUGCGCGCCAACUUGCGGGCCGGGGACCCAGGGCCGGCGCCCUAAGAGGCGGCGGCGGGAGGAUCGCGUCCCGACCCGAGGCCGGGCCUGCUGCGCGCCCCCAGCCCGAUCGGCACCGCCACUUGCCUGAGCGCCCCGGCGGCCCGAGCGCGCCCCAAGCCCGGGCGCCACCGCUGCCACCUCGGCGAGGUCUCCCUGCGUCUUUGAGGACACAGCCUUGCUGGAGGCAGUUUCUGGUGCCAGUGACGGGGUGGCCUGUGAGCUGA
rnacentral:lncRNA from 1 species